rnacentral:sRNA from 1 species
GCAAAGAACAAGUGGCACGUUCCAGUGACUACCUCGAUGGGCAAUUGACCUUUCGCGAACGUUUGCUGGUGCGUCAUCACUUGAUGUUUUGCCCUAACUGCCGGCGAUUUAUCCGUCAGAUGCGCCUGAUGCAGGCGACUUUGAAAAUCAUGCCGGAAGAACCGGUAAAGGACGUGGAUGCAUUGGCUGACCGGCUGGUAGCCGAGCGGCUGAAAGAUCAGUAAAAGCGCGAACAAUGCAGACUCGCGUGGGUGGGGCGAACGGAUGAUGAGGGGCGACCCACCCACGC